rnacentral:rRNA from 1 species
GACGAACGCUGGCGGCGUGCUUAACACAUGCAAGUCGAACGGAAAGGCCUCUUUCGGGGGGUACUCGAGUGGCGAACGGGUGAGUAACACGUGAGUAACCUGCCCUUGACUUUGGGAUAACUUCAGGAAACUGGGGCUAAUACCGGAUAGGAGCUCCUGCUGCAUGGUGGGGGUUGGAAAGUUUCGGCGGUUGGGGAUGGACUCGCGGCUUAUCAGCUUGUUGGUGGGGUAGUGGCUUACCAAGGCUUUGACGGGUAGCCGGCCUGAGAGGGUGACCGGCCACAUUGGGACUGAGAGACGGCCCAGACUCCUACGGGAGGCAGCAGUGGGGAAUAUUGCACAAUGGGUGGAAGCCUGAUGCAGCAACGCCGUGUGCGGGAUGACGGCCUUCGGGUUGGAAACCGCUUUCGCUCAUGACGAAGCUUUGUGUGACGGUAGUGGGCAAAGAAGCACCGGCUAACUACGUG